rnacentral:rRNA from 1 species
UACGGGGGGGGCAAGCGUUGUUCGGAAUUACUGGGCGUAAAGGGCUCGUAGGCGGCCAACUAAGUCAGACGUGAAAUCCCCAGGCUCAACCUGGGAACUGCGUCUGAUACUGGUUGGCUUGAAUCCGGGAGAGGGAUGCAGAAUUCCAGGUGUAGCGGUGAAAUGCGUAGAUAUCUGGAGGAAUACCGGUGGCGAAGGCGGCAUCCUGGACCGGCAUUGACGCUGAGGAGCGAAGGCCAGGGGAGCAAACAGG